CACGUAGGGCGCAAGCGUUGUCCGGAAUUAUUGGGCGUAAAGAGCUCGUAGGCGGUCUGUUACGUCUGCUGUGAAAACCCGGGGCUCAACUCCGGGCCUGCAUUCGAUACGGGCGGACUAGAGUUCGGUAGGGGAGACUGGAAUUCCUGGUGUAGCGGUGAAAUGCGCAGAUAUCAGGAGGAACACCGGUGGCGAAGGCGGGUCUCUGGGCCGAUACUGACGCUGAGGAGCGAAAGCGUGGGGAGCGAACAGG
rnacentral:rRNA from 1 species